rnacentral:lncRNA from 1 species
UGCUUGCUCCUGGAGGGGAUGCUGCGGAACGACUGCUGCCGGUCCACGUGCAGGCCGCGACCCGUCUGAUCCACCACGCGAAGCACGUGCUGCGACAGAGAUACACCCGUGAAACGCAUCGUUUCCAUAAGCGGGUUCCUGAACUGCGGGAUUGAUUCCAAACAAGGUGGACUGCCGCAUGACGACUCGAAUGGCGAAGAAUACCGACGACACAGCGAGACGAGAACGUGCACUGGCGGAGCGACACUUGAUGGACCGAGGCUACGCGAUUUUCUGCAUGACGGCCAGCACACUGCGGAAGAUCGGCGGCAACACCAGAGGAACGAAUGCGAUGUGGAUGCCUCACGCGAGAAAGCCCCGUGAAGAAAUUCGUCCAAGGAGUCGAUCAGCCCUGGUCCAGCAAGUGUCCUGCUCCUGUGCCCUAGCAUGUGUUUGCUUCCAUCUACAUCGAGCCUACCAGACCAACCGCAGUCGUCGAGCUCCAAAAGAAGGCCGUAAACGAGGAAGUGGUUCCAGUGAACUUCAACUUCACCGGCUGUACGAGCACGUUCUCGCAGUUAAAAGUCCACUUCAACAAGGGCACACUGCGCUGCAGUGUACGGCUUUGUAAAUAGGCUCAUCUUUCGAACUUCCACGAGCGAUCCGAGAAUCCAAGCGAUUUGUAUCGCCGGUGUCUACGAAGUAUGAGCGUUUAACGAUUUUGAGUAUUAAUAAUAAAAGCUUAUUGAA